rnacentral:misc_RNA from 1 species
UCCUGGUUUCCCAGGCAGUCCCGCCAGAGUGCUUUACCUAAAAAGGCAGUUGCAACUGACGGCAAGGGUUGCGCUCGUUAAAGGGCUUAACCCAACAUCUCACGACACGAGCUGACGACAGCCAUGCAGCACCUGUGCAAAUGUCUAAACCGAAGCUUAGAAGAUCUCAUCUCUGAGACUGUCAAAUGCAUGUCAAGUCCAGGUAAGGUUCCUCGCGUAGUGUCGAAUUAAACCACAUGUUCCACCGCUUGUGCGGACCCCCGUCAAUUCCUUUGAGUUUUAGUCUUGCGACCGUAAUCCCCAGGCGAAUCACUUAACGCGUUAGCUACGACACUGAUCUGAAAAAUCAAACCAACAUCUAGUGAUCAUCGUUUACAGCGUGGACUAC